rnacentral:rRNA from 1 species
CGAGAUUGUGGUUUUCUUCCUUUAUUGGACGGUAACCACGAGAACUUGUCUAAACCUUAUCAUUUAGAGGAAGGUGAAGUCGUAACAAGGUUUCCGUAGGUGAACCUGCGGAAGGAUCA